GGGGUGUCACUCACUUUAAAUUUUAGUGGUUUUACUUGCAUAGAUUGUAGUCUUUUUAUAAAGCUAAUGUAAUUAAGUGAGCAUGUUGAGUGUGUGUGGAGGAGUGAAUGACUAGCUGACUGUGUGUGAAUUUCCUUCAGAGCAGGGAAGUUACAGAAGAGCUACUGUAAUAGCAUAAUCAUUAACCACAGCCAACAUGUACAAUCAUCUCCUAAGGUGUAUGCGGUCAAUGGAUUGUGGUCUAUGUUCACAUUGUUUAAACUAUUCAUCUGUUUAUGGAUUUAAAUAUUUACAUAUUCUGGUAAUUUUAUAAAACACAUGACUAGUUAAUAUUUAUUAUUUUGAUUUUGAAACACUGAAAUAAUAAAGAUGGUUUUAUCAGAUUAGUUUGGUGCCUAGGCACCAGGAUUUCAUUGUAUAAGUCGGUAACAUAUUUGAAUGAAGGUGAAGACUGUGCUUUGGAAUAUACAUGUAUUUGUAUUUAUAAAUAUUCAAUUAUAUUGAAACCUGUAACUAUACAGUUGAUUAAUUCAUAACAUGCAUACAUUUUGUGUAAUAUUGAUUAUAUUUUGUACAUAACAAAAGAUUGAUGGAAGUCUCGAGUGAAAUAAAUAUGAAGACAUAU
rnacentral:misc_RNA from 1 species